CGAAAGAGGGGAGGGGGAGCCGGGGGCGUUCGGGGAGAGCGCGCGCAAAGAUUUGGGGGGGGGCGGAGAGGGCGAAAAGGGGACCUGAAAAGGCGAUCCUAAAAGUGGGGGAGUGCAGGAUCUCUGGAGGCGGUGGCCCCCACGUCUGUCCUUUACGGUGAGGGGAGACUGGAAGGGCACCCCGCUCUUCUCUACAUGGCGAGGCCCAGGUGAAGAGGAGAGGGGCGCGCUUGCUUGGCCCCUCCCGCGAAGGGGGCGUGCGUAAGCUUCGCGGUAUGUGUGACGGGGUUGGGCGGGGGGGGGGAGAGAAGGACCGCUGGUGGCAGAUCGGGGCCGCCUCGGAGAUGGGGGUCCCAUUUCUAUAGUCAUGGGGUGGCUUUUGGGCAGAGUCGCGUGUGAGCUGCAGGGGGGCGCAAAGCGAAGAGGUCGCCUUCAGUGGCCAGGGCCAGGCUGGAGGGGUGGGGCUGGCGAUAGGACGCUGCAUCCGGGCGUGGCGGGGAGGGUUGCAGGAGGCGGCUCCGGUUUCAGGCUUUUUGUCUGGAGUCUGCAAAAAAAGGGGGGAAGCCCCCUUUCCUUUAGCCCCGGCCUCGGUUCGUGUUGCUGCACCCACCAGCCCCCUUCCUCCGCCCCGCGCGCCCUCCCUCCAUUUCUGGCCUAGCCCACCCCGGCGCGCUCCGCUUCGGAAAGGCCCGUUAACUAUUUAGGAAUGGGAGGAGGGGCGGCCUGGCGCUUGCCUUCGGCUGAGCCUUUUGAAUCGCCGGUCGAGCUCCUGACGCGCCGCACGCUCAUUUUCCAAGCUCAAACAAUGGCUUUCUCCUUUUUUCCCCACCCGCCGCAUCAAAUUUGAAUUACUGUACUGCUACAUUGGGGGGGGGGGAGUUGCCCAAGAAGUGGAAGUGGGAUGUGGUUGAGCCAAUAUCUGCUUUCUCAAGAUCACUAGCGGCAGCCCUUUGAAGCCUUUGUUUUUCUGCUCUGAUUUUGGGGUAAAUCUUGGGUCAGUGCAGAGUCUGGGCAAAGAUUCUGCCAUAAGGAAAGGUGUCAGGAAGUUGAUGGGACUUCAGCCCUUCCAGCCACAGUAAUGCCCUAGUACAUAUCCUCCAACAUUUCUCCUAUGAAAAUAGGGACAUCCUAAGGAAAAGUGGGACAUUCUAGGGUCAAAUCAGAAACUGGGACAAAAUGGGGACACUUUGAGGGUCUGAUAGUAGUCUGGGAUAUUGCUACAGUGGCACAUGCUGGGGACAGAUCCUGGUGGAUGAACAAUAACACAGAAAGAAGCUAUGGCUUCAGACCUUAAGACGGGGCUCUUAGCUAGGUUAGUCUUUUAAGUACCCAGUUUGUGGGAGAGCCUCAUUAUCUCUCCUUAGAUCUGGAGCUGCUCAUACAUAAACCAUAACUAAUGAACUGUCUGGGUUUGUAUGGAAUGCUAAUCCAUAGUUAAGGUGAGUAAACCAACAACCAGCAACAAACCAUGGCUUAUUUUUGCUAACAAAACUAUAGCUAAUUGUAGUUAAGGUGCUGGGCUGGGUUUGUAUGCAACACCAAACCUUAACUAAGGUUUAUUUAAACCAUGGUUUAACACUGUAUGUAAACUAGGCCAUAGUAUCUCACAUUGGAAUUAUGUGUACUGAGCGAAGAUUGCAUUCAGUUCACUGGUCCUUGUAUUCUCCUUGCUUUGCCAUGUACCCCUAGCUCCUGAAGCAAAAGUUCAAGUGUCUCCUGUUUUGGCAGAAAUACAAGAAAGCAAAUGACUGUUAAUUGCCCUUUGCCUUAUAAUAGGAGCAGCCUUUUCUUGGAAAUGGCUGGUGACUCUCAACUUCUUCCAUGCUUGGGCAGCUUGAAUUGGCUUGGAUGCUUGGUAUUUAUGGUCCCAGCAAAGGGAGCCUUUUGCAUAGCUUACCAGCCAUCUAUGUUUGGACUGGUGGUGGCUCUGCUGGUAAAAACUCCAUGCGGUAAGGGCUGUGGAUGGGUGUGUCUCUGGACAAUGUAACAUUGGCCCUGAGCAGCCUGUCUCUUGCAUUGCCUGGUAGAGGAACUGAUUCUAGUUGAGGUCUGACUCAUUAAUGUGGGAAUCCUGGAAGUCUCAAUAGCUGUUCAGAAAAACCAAUGGCUUAUGCAUCCCUUGCUUUUGCAGGGAGCUUCCGGUGGCCUCUCAUUCAGAUUUAUCAUGCCUGCUCAGCCUCAGCACUGCUGAAGCAUCUGUUCUUCCCAGACCAUUCACAGGGGCCAGACAUCCCCACUGUUGAUUCAGGGUCAUGAGCAUCCAUAACCUGUUCUGGGAUUGGGGUUUUCCCAUAGCCCUUUGCUAUGUAUAAGUGAAGGUGGAAUCAGACCUACAGCCUCAGGAGCGGGGGGCAGGUACUUAUCCAACCUGAUGAUGUGCUCCAGAUGUUUUGCACUAUAACCAGGUUGAGGAAGUCAACUAGACCAAACUUGGGUGGAAGAAGAGCGACAUGACUAAAUACUGUAAAAAUAAUAAUAAAAAAAACACCCACAGUCAUCUCCUACUGCUAUCCCUUGGCUCUUGGAAUGGCUGGUGUCAAUCUAUGUUGCCAAUAUAAACAGAAUGUAUUUUCUGUACUGAUGCCCUGGUCUCUUUCCUGCUCUCUCCCACACUAUCACAGUUUGUAAUGACCUGGUCUCAGCUGGGAUGUGUUGACAUCCCAACACAUGUAGCUCCCUGUAUUCACUGAAAUUGGGCCUGUGACUCUGCAAGCUAAAUGCAACCCAGCAGGGUCUUCAUAAACCUCCUGUUUUAGCUAUGUUUGGCCCAGGGUUGCAAAAAUGUGGCAGUGUGUUGAAUCCUUGGAUGGUCUUAGUACUGGUGGGUUACGAUUAGGUGGAUCUGACACAAAAAGUGUAGACCUGUGUUACCUUAUGUUGGACCUGGUGUGGUUCCUAGUCCACUUGACCAGGAACUCCAUAUCUUGGGGUAAAGAUGGGGCAACACACCUUGUAAUGCAGAGACAGCUUUCAAAGGCCUAAUUACUUUGAGUAUCUUAAAGUCUUAAGUUGUGCUCAUGGCUAUCCAGAGGUACGAAACCACCUAUUACCUGAAGUUGCAGGGUUUUUUAUUAUUAUUAUUUUAAUAAUACUAUUUCUGGCAACUGCCCAUGUGCACUUGGAGGACUGUUAAUGUUGCUGCAGGAACCCCUCUAUUGAUGAAGCCCUCUUGGUGUAUCUGUCUGGAUGGUGCUCUACACGGCUGCGAGCUGGUAAUGAUAGGAAAAUCUGGAUUAGAUUGACCGCUGUGGUAAAUUUGCUAGAUAUGCAGCAAUGUGGUGGCUGUGCGUAACAUUUGUAAAGCUGUACUCUAUGGGAAGAUAAGGCCCAGCGAAGGGAUACUGUAAAAGUGAUGCUCUAAACGGGCCCCAAGUUGUUGGACUCCAACUUGCAUCUGCUCUAGCCAGUGUGGUCAAGGAGGGUGGGAGUUGUGGUCCAGCAAUAGCUGGACAGAGUGUUCUGCUCCCUGCUCUGUUUGACCCCCCCCCCUGGAGCCUGCAGGAAGACCCUGAGGACAGUGGGAGAUGAGAAUCCUGCUUUGCCCUUUGAUGCAGUGAGUCAGUCGCUGGGCCACAGACUCUGACUCAGACAAGGUCUGGCAGCAGUUGCUGAGAAGUGGAAGGGUGUGCGCACACUAUAACCAUGCCUGUAGGCUAGAGAUGGGCAACCCUGUGCCUGGGUGUGCCUGCCUGUUCCACCGCCUCCUCCUUGGGUUGGGGUGAAGAGGAGGAUGGGCUGGGUGGGGUCUUUUGCUCCUCUUCGCAGAGAGGCAGGAUGUAGGGAAGGCGGGCAGAGAGGGAGGGACCAGGCCUAACAUGUGGAGGGGGCGUUCUUUUCCCUCCCCCUGGAAGGAGAAUCCUGUUGGGACAGAGAAGCUGCUGCCUGCCGGCCACUCCAUAUAAGGCUAAAAAAUGCUGGAGCGGUCUGCUCUGUGGCUGGGUGGGCGGUGCAGAGCCGGGUGGGGAGGUGGCUGGGAUGUGAUGGCUUGCCUUCUCCCUAUUCCUCCCCACCACCACCCAGGAAAAAGAAGGGGCAGUAUUUUUUUUAAAAAAAGCAUGGCGUAUUUAAUCCUGCCAGAGGGCUGCAUCUGCCCUGGCACUCCAGUAACAUAAGCUUACGUGCAUGAGAGCUGAUGGGAAGGGGCUCCCAUCCUGGCUACUCUAGCCUUGUGUAGGCAGGAUGGCUUGACUGGGACUCUGCUCCCGGGGAGGGAGGGGACAUGUGGCCUCGUGUUGGUGAAUCUGUGGCCACUCCCUGUAGGCUCUGGUUUCUGGGUCUUAGAAGCCCUUUGGUCCUCCUGUCCUCUUUGAUAAUGCUUGUUCUGCAAUUUAUAGCUUACUCAGCUGGACAGUGUUGAAUGCUCCUCUCUCCAGCUUUGAGGCUGGCCCUGACGCCUGCCCUUUUGAAUGCUCCCAGCUGCUAUGGGGCUCAGUGGAUAUGGAGGGCAAAACUAAAAGUGUGUGUGAUGGGGAGGGAAGAGUGCAGAUGGAAGCUUGGAAAAUGCCUUUUUUUCAGGAUGGUACUCGCUCCAUGUUGCCUGUAACCAGAUCCUGCAAUCUGCUGCAGACGAGGAGGGAGAAUAGCAGCUCUCUCUAAUACUACUGAGGGUUGUCGUGUUAACUACUUGGAGGCCACAGACUGCUUGGGUAGGAAAUGGACUGAAGCCUAUUGGAUCCAAGUGUGUAUAUUGUGUGGCAGUAGCACAUGUGUGAAUGCUAGGAAGCUGUAGUCCAAGGGAGGGAGAUCCUUUUUAACCGUGAGGGCCACAUUCCCAUCCCACCAACCUAUGGGAGCCUCAUGGUGCUGGUGGGGUGGGCCAGCACGGCAAAUGUAAAAUUUAGCUUUGUAUACUAGGCCAGUAUCUACAAAUACACACUCUUCUCCAUCCAGUACCUGUUGAGUUUCAGUGGCAGAUAGAGGCGCUUUGAGGGUUACAUUUGGCCCUUGAGCCUGAGAUUCUGUUGUAGCAAAAAGCCGUUUCAUAGCACAUGCAACAUAGCACAUAUGCACGGUCCUGUCACUGUGGGGGUCCUUAGCCACAAGCUUCAUGUAACCUGCUUUGUGGAGCACGUUCCCUGUAAACGUGUGAAGUAUAUUCUGCCAGAAGGUGAUACUUAAUUUCUUCCUUCAUGGACCAUAAAACAGAGUUGCUUGUUUUCCAUACUAAAAGGACAACUGACCUGUAUGAAUUAUGCAAGUUAAACAUUUUUCAUAAUUCUGCUUCCCCCUACUGUUAUGGGGUGGAGAAGCAUGUAGAUGCCUUCAUUGGAGGCUUUUAAGCAUAAAAUAAAUAAUUUUAUUAUUUACACCCCACCUAUCUGGCUGGGUUGCCCCAGCCACUCUGGGUGGCUUCCAACACAUAUGAAAAAACAAUGAAACAUCAAACACUGAAAACUUCCCGAUACAGGGCUGCCUUCAGCUUGGGGGGAUGCUGUCAGGGAUGCUUUAGUUGAGAUUCCUGCAUUGGAGGGGGCUGGGCUAGAUCAGGCACCCCCAAACUCGACUCUCCAGCUGUUUUGGGACUACAGUUCCCAUCAUCCUUGACCACUGGUCCUGUUAGCUAUGGAUGAUGGGAGUUGUAGUCCCAAAACAGCUGGAGGGCCGAGUUUGGGGAUGCCUGGGCUACCUUCCAGCUCUGCUGUUCUAUGGGUCUAUAUAAAUAUAAAGGGCACUGAAAACCUGACCUCAAACCACUGGAAGGUUUUGUCAGUAAUUUUUCUGACUUCUGUUGUGUGCACACCCACCCACACCCCUCAUGCACUUGUAAGAAGCCUUUUCCUACUUCAGUGAAUACCACCUUCCUGUGUUUGUGCAGCUGCAGGAAUUAUUUAUUACAUUUGUGGUGCCACCCUUUAUUGGAGAAUCAGAGUAGUUCACCACAUAAUGCACUUAGGAUGCCCUUGGCUUGGUGCAGGUUACGUCUUGGACAUGGGUUCACUUCCAUGUUGGGAGUCAAUGAAAUGAUUUCCCAUCUUACGCCUAGGAACAGGUUCUGUGCUUCUGAGGCUAGACCAGGCACCCCCAGACUUCGGCCCUCCAGAUGUUUUGGACUACAAUUCCCAUUUUUCCCCACCACUGGUCCUGUUAGCUAGGGAUCAUGGGAGUUGUAGGCCAAAACAUCUGGAGGGCCGCAGUUUGGGGGUGCCUGGUCUAGACCAUCGCUUUGAAUUCAUUCUAGGUUCUCUUCUGUUGCCUUGAUCUUCAUCAGUCUCUUUCACUUUGUAGCUAUCUGGAGGUUGAUUCUUCCUUCAUACCUUGUGCUCCGGAUCCCAUAGGAUCUGUACACCGGCUUUAAAAAAUA